UACGUAGGGUGCAAGCGUUGUCCGGAAUUAUUGGGCGUAAAGAGCUCGUAGGCGGUUUGUCGCGUCUGCUGUGAAAACCCGAGGCUCAACCCGGGCCUGCAGUGGGUACGGGCAGACUAGAGUGCGGUAGGGGAGAUUGGAAUUCCUGGUGUAGCGGUGGAAUGCGCAGAUAUCAGGAGGAACACCAAUGGCGAAGGCAGAUCUCUGGGCCGUAACUGACGCUGAGGAGCGAAAGCAUGGGGAGCGAACAGG
rnacentral:rRNA from 1 species